ACAAUCACUUGUUCUUUAAAUAAGGACUAGUAUGAACGGCACCACGAAGACCAUGCUGUCUCCUUUUUCUAAUCAGUGAAACUGAUCUCCCCGUGAAGAAGCGGGGAUUAUUCUAUAAGACGAGAAGACCCUAUGAAGCUUAAAAUUUAUAUCAACUGCCACCCAUAUACCACCUCAACCUGACAGACCUGAUUACCAAUUUUUGGUUGGGGUGACCGCGGAGCAAAAUUAAACCUCCACAAUGAAAGGACCAACCUCCUAAUUCAAGAAUUACACUUCUAAAAAUCAACAUAUUGACAUAAAUUGAUCCAAUUUUUGAUCAAUGAACCAAGUUACUCUAGGGAUAACAGCGCAAUCCAUUUCAAGAGCCCCUAUCGACAAAUGGGUUUACGACCUCGAUGUUGGAUCAGGGUGUCCUAGUGGUGCAACCGCUACUAAAGGUUCGUUUGUUCAACGAUUAAAACCCUACGUGAUCUG
rnacentral:rRNA from 1 species